CUGAUGACGGCGUAUGGGUGGAAAUCGGAAUCGAUCGCCCAAUUCCCCUUCGCACCGAUAAGGUGUACCAGUUGGGGGAGCGCCUUGACGUCAG
ncrna:unclassified sequences L4-Archaeoglobi ribosomal protein leader